GAGGACUAAGGAAAUAGUCUCCUUACCUCCUCAGACUGUCUCCCUGCAAAGACCCUGGUGAGAGAGACAUGGGAAAGGAAGAAACAAGGAAUGGAUCCACAACAGACAAAUGCCAACAGGAGAAGGCAAAGGAGGAGGAGGAAGAAGGAGAUACAGCUGAGGGUGAUGAUGAGUAUAUUACUAGAUUCUGAAGCUAGAGUAGAAGAGAAAAGAAUCUUCAUAAAUCACUAUCCUGAGGGGACCCUCACCUUGCCCCUGAAAUCAUCUCUGCAUUUUCUCCAUAUACCCUCAUUCACAGACUCCCAUCACCACCAGCACCCAACAAGGGCUCAUCUUUUGGAAUUGAGCUCCAGGGGGUCACUGAGUUGUGUCCAGAGACUGCCUUCGGUGCCAGGCUGGUAGCCACAACUGUAAUUGCCAGAAUGCUUGGGCGUCACAUGAGUCAAGGAGAACUGGGCUCCAUCUUGAGUGACCUUGAAACACCCUCACCUGUCACCCAGAUCUCUAGGACCUCACUGGGCUCAGACACCUGUGAUAGAGUCAUCAUCUCCUCAUGGUAGACACAGCUGUAGCUGCCAGCAUCUUGUGCCCUCACAGAGAGAAGGAGAAAAUCAGCUGAGGUUCCACCUGGACUCUGCCUCUGCAAGGGCUGAGAGAUCCCCACUUUCAGCAGAAUGAAUGUCACUCCCCAGAGGGAAGAAUAAGAAGGAGGAUGCUCACACUGGAGUGUCACAUGAGUACCAGGUUCCACCACAAGGCCUGGGAGGGCUGAGAGGGUGGGCUUGGGGAGAGAUCCUGUGAGAGGAAGAACAUGGGGCUGGGAGUCAGGAUAUGUGAGCCAUCUUUUCCCUGGCCCUGGGUCCCUAUAUGACCAUGAU